UCCGACGAGGCGGACUCGAACCACCGACCUAAGGAUCACUGCACAACCACUACGGUCCUCCACUCUACCAACUGAGCUAUCGUCGG
rnacentral:tRNA from 1 species